rfam:Helianthus annuus linkage group 11, whole genome shotgun sequence.
AGGCCGUGAUGGGGACACUUGCGUAAUAGCUCCUUGAACCUUUCCCAAGUUUCAUAUAAGGAUUCCCCGUCCUCUUGUGAAGAUGUAUUAAUUUCAGUCAUUAACUU